rnacentral:ribozyme from 1 species
AAGAAACAAGGAAUGAAUGAAUAAUGAGAAGGAGAUAAUAUGGUCAUUUCAGUGACAACAUCACAUUUUUUAAUUCUGUUUCAAAUUUAUAUCCUUUUUUUCUCUCUAAUCUAGGUGAACGCUGGAUGUGUUCCAAAAAAGGUCAUGUGUAAGAAACAAGGAAUGAAUUUGAAUAAUGAGAAGGAAAUAAUAUAGCCAUUUUGGCGACAACGUCACCUUUUUUAAAUCU